rnacentral:lncRNA from 1 species
CGCUGGCCGGCCUCGGGGCCGGGUCUCUGGCGAUUCAGGCCUUUUGCUAAGAGUCGUGACGUGCACGUGACCCCAUUGGACCAGCCUUUCCUGCAUGAAUUCUUGACAACUUUCAAGAUCCAGAUGGGAAGAGGGCAGUGCUAUAGGAGGGGAGACCACUGGUGACAUGCCAGGCGGAUCCAAAACCAAGCAGAAGCGCUCAGAAGUACCCUUGUCAGAACACUGGGAGAGAGACGUUGACAGCCACCAACCGAAUGCUGAACAAAGGCGGAGGAAACUGGAAAAUGAAUGCUAUGGUGAAUGCCACCGAGUCCAUGGGGACAGUAAUGAGAAAAUGAAGAUGGAUGCUUCUUGGAGCUCAGCUAACGGUGGAGGAAGAACUUUGGACAGACUUCUACGCUUCCCACCCUCUGACACCUGUAGAAAAUCGUCAUUCUAGUCCAGAGUUAUCGGUUUCCCCCUGGACUCCUGCAAACUCUACCUGGAAGAAGAAUCUGUUCUCCAUCUCUGAGGCAGUGGUUCUCACACAUGCUCAUCACAAGAGUCCCUCAAAGGGGCAGAGUCCCAGCUGGAAUCAGGAAAUGUGAUCACAGAAGCCAGGUCAGAGUGAUGUGCCUGUUGGCUUCAAAGACGGAGGAAAGGGGCCAUGAGCCAAAGGAUGUGAGCAGCCUCUAGAAGCUGGACAAGGCAAAGAUUCUCUGCCAGAGACUCUGAAAGGAACAGAGCUCCGCCGACAUCUGCGUUAGCCCAGUGAGACCCUUUUUGGACAUCUGGACUAGAGAAUGGUAAGAUAGUAAAUUUUUUGUUGUUUUAAGCUACUAAGUUGGGGGCGAUUUGUUAUGAUGUCAAAAAGAAGGUAAUAUGCAGGAUGUCUGAGCAGAGCAAAGGUAGGACAAUGGUUUGUGGAGGAGAAAGUGCCAACAGAUAGCUGAAAGAGGGCAAAAGGGCCAGGUUCUGGCAGAGAGUGAUGCGGCUGGUAGGAUGCCUUGCUCUUUGCUGCGUUUGUUUGUUCAUUUGUUUCUAUUCCAGGUGUGGUAUAUGGAAGUUCCCAGGCUAGGGGUCACAUUGGAGCUGCAGCUGUGACCUCUGCCACAGCUUGAGGCAAAGCCUGAUCCUUAACCCACUGAGUGAGGCCAGGGAUGGAAGCCACAUCCUCACAGACACUGUGUUGGCUUCUUAACCUGCUGAGCCGCGGCGGGAACACUGAGUCUUUUAAGUCUUGAUGAUGUUGAUCUCAGGCAUGAAAUGGUGAAAAGAUACGGAAUAUAAAUUUGUCCACUGGAUAUGAGUGAACUGGAGAAACAAGAAAGCAAACCAGUUAAUCAAGAACUUUCUGUGUUUUUGUACAGAGACGAGAGGAAUCAAAAUUUCAUAAGAGCAAUAAACCUAGAAAGGAAGGGAGAAACAGUCUUGGCAAGAAAUUAUUUUCUUGUCUCUGAGAUAAAUUUUAUAAGAAUCUAAUAAAGGAUUUUAUAAGGAUAUUUAUUUAUAUUUUUGGAAGACUUGCAGACUUUUUUAUUUUGCAUGGUUCAUUUCACAUUCUCCAAAUGGAUCCUCCAUUUGAUAUUUCUCUGAACAAGAAUAUCAUAAAAGUCCAGCACUAGUAGGUGAUCUUAUGCGAAUAAGUAUGGGUUCACUGUUAAAGGAGAGGAACUGUUCUAUUUCUUAUCUUCUGUGUGUGUGUGUGUGUGUGUGUGUGUGUGUGUGUGUGUGUGUGAGAGAGAGAGAGAGAGAGAGAUUCAGAUGAAUUCUAGAGGAAAAGGGACAGUAGUCUGAUAGCACAAAGUGAGAGGUAUUUAUAAAAUGAUUUUUGCCCCCAAAAUAUAUAGUGAUUGAAGUAUAUGUACAUGGUAUUAUAUAAUCUUAAAACGAUAAUUAAGAGAUGGCCCCUCUAAAGACCCACAUACUAGGAUUUGUAGGUUUUCUAGAUUUCCAGCUGUGGCACAGUGGGUUAAGGGCCUAGCGUUGCCAUAGCUGUGGGGUAGGUCACAACUGCGGCUCAGAUUCAAUCCCUGGCCAGGGAACUUCCAUAUGCCACAGGUGCAGCCAAAAAAUAAAUAAAUAAAAAAUGAAAAUUUCAGGUUUUCCUCAGCCUCAUGUUCCGUGGUCCGUGUUUCCUCCUCCAUCCCACCCCACAUCCCGCUGGAAGCUCACUAACUGCUGUGUGUUUUAGUCAAAUGAGAUCUCUAAAGAAAACGUCACUCCUCCUCCCGUGUGUUUUUCCUUUAUUCUCACACUACUCCCACACUCACUAUACUUCUGGCACCAGAUAUGUGUGUCUGUUCCCCACCCCCGCCUCCAAGCAGUCGUGCAACACCAGCUGGACAUCCUGUCAUUUAACUCAGUUCUGACCCUGUCUCCCUGGAGAUAACAUCACAUCCCACAGGUUGAAGGCCUAGUCCCAGAAUACUGCCCCUCUCCCUUCAGAUGCCAACCUCAAGGUCAUGUCGUCGCCUGUGUGUCAACCUCGUGUGCUAUCUAAAUGGAUGGUUCCUAUGACUCCACCUCAAGUGCGAUUAAUUUGCUAGAUCAGCUCCGAGUACGUAGGAAAACUCUUUACCAGUUUAUUAGAAGAGGAUAUGAUAAAGGAUACAGAUGCUCCAAGAUGCAUCAGAUGAACAGAACAAGAAAGUGGGCAGGGCAGGGAGUUUCAGGCCUCCUCCAUGUGCCCCACCUCCCAGCACCUCCACGUCUCACCAAAAUGGAGCUCUCUAUACUUGUGAGAUUUUUAUGGAGCUUCCCCCAUGCAGGCAUGAUCAGUCAUUAAUUCCGUUUCUAGCUCCUCUCCUCUCUCUGGAGAGUGGGAGGUAAGGCUGAAAGCUCCAAGCUUCUAAUCACAGCUUGACCUUUCUCAUGACCUACCCCCAUCUAGGAGCCCACCAAGGAUCACCUCAUUAAACUAAGACACUCCCAUCACCCAGUAAAUUUCAAAGGAUUUAGGAACUCCGUGUCAGACACUGAGGUCAAAAGCCAAAUAUUAGGAGUUCCCAUUGUGGCUCAGUGGAUUAAGAACCUGAUUAGUAUCCAUGAGGAUGCAGGUUCGAUCCCUGACCUCGCUCAGUGGCUUAAGGAUCUGGCGUUGCCCUGAGCUGUGGUGUAGGUCGCAGACACAGC